UACGUAGGGCGCAAGCGUUAUCCGGAAUUAUUGGGCGUAAAGAGCACGCAGGCGGUUUGGCAAGUCGGACGUGAAAAUCCGGGGCUCAACCCCGGACCUGCAUCCGAAACUGCCCGACUAGAGGUAGGUAGGGGAGAUCGGAAUUCCUGGUGUAGCGGUGAAAUGCGCAGUUAUCAGGAGGAACACCGGUGGCGAAGGCGGAUCUCUGGGCCUUACCUGACGCUCAGGUGCGAAAGCUAGGGGAGCGAACGGG
rnacentral:rRNA from 1 species